CAACGAAGCUUUAAAUGCAAGUCGAACGGUAACAGGGGAGCUUGCUCCCGCUGACGAGUGGCGAACGGGUGAGUAAUGCAUCGGAACGUGCCGAAUAGUGGGGGAUAACGCACCGAAAGGUGUGCUAAUACCGCAUACGCCCUGAGGGGGAAAGUGGGGGACCGCAAGGCCUCACGCUAAUCGAGCGGCCGAUGUCGGAUUAGCUAGUUGGUGGGGUAAAGGCUCACCAAGGCGACGAUCCGUAGCGGGUCUGAGAGGAUGAUCCGCCACACUGGGACUGAGACACGGCCCAGACUCCUACGGGAGGCAGCAGUGGGGAAUUUUGGACAAUGGGGGAAACCCUGAUCCAGCCAUGCCGCGUGUCUGAAGAAGGCCUUCGGGUUGUAAAGGACUUUUGUCCGGGAGGAAACCCUGAUCGUUAAUAGCGGUCGGGACUGACAGUACCGGAAGAAUAAGCACCGGCUAACUACGUGCCAGCAGCCGCGGUAAUACGUAGGGUGCAAGCGUUAAUCGGAAUUACUGGGCGUAAAGCGUGCGCAGGCGGUGAGAUAAGUCAGCUGUGAAAGCCCCGGGCUCAACCUGGGAACUGCGGCCGAAACUGUCUCGCUAGAGUACGUCAGAGGGGGGUGGAAUUC
rnacentral:rRNA from 1 species